rnacentral:lncRNA from 1 species
UGGGAAACUUCCUGUACCAUCCCUGGGAAUUUGGACAACAAGUAGGACAGGAACUCCUGCAUUAACAUAGCUUGUAUUAAACAGGCACUGGUGUGAUUGGAUCUGAGAGUGGGAGAGGAAACACUACUGGGAAUGGCCAGGAUUGCUCCCUGUUGCAGGCAACGCUGCUGAGAAAGCACAAACCAGCCACAGUGGUGAAGUCAUGCAAAUGCAAUGCUCCCAAAGGCCACAGGAAUUGUGGAAAGAUUUGUGUACAAAAGUGGAAGAGAUGGCAAGCAUAAAUAGGGUUAAACAAGGUACAAGGGAAAGGAAGGCUGAUCUGUGAGCACCAAGUGAACCUUCUUGCUGUCGGCAUGCCUGGAAAAAUACAUGCCGCACACCCAUCCCUGAGUCAUUUCAAACUGCAUAGUGCCUCUGUUGCCCACCAGCUGGAGGUCUUUUCCAGUGUCUAAUGUGAACAUGCAGUGCUGGAGAAGCACAGCAAUAUGCCAUUCCUUUUAGGCUUGCCCAUGUCCAGAUGUACAUCCCAAGAUUUGCUAGCUCUGGGGAACGUAAAGCAAACUGAAGGAAACAGGAUUUUACUGAAAGAAACAGGAUUCUACAGAAAAGAAGCAGACCCAUAAGAACUGUACAGAGAACAUUUUCUUUCGGAGUACCUACUGUUAUGCAAUUGUGCUAAGACUAUGCCUCUGUAUUUCACAUCCCUUUUAUGAGUUUGCCAGAGGCAGCAGAAGCCAUAGAGGACCUUUCUCCAAGGCAGAGAAUGCAGAUGAUCCCACUCUGAAGAGAGACGAUGCAAAGCACAAAGGUUUCAGCGUACCCACAUGGUACCACAUGGAGCUUUGGGAGGCACAGUGCUCUCACUCUGUAAUAAUGCUGAUUGAUUGCCACAGCGUUAUGGAUCCCAGCUCAUCUGGAACCCAUGAGAAACUCCUUUUCAUACUAAACACUGACUUCUCAAAAAAGUUCAAGUGCUUCAUAAGCGUAAAUUGAUUCAGCCUAACAGUGUUUCUAUGACGUGGGAAAAUCUGUGAUGCUUAACUGACACCACUUACUUGACUUGCUAAAACUGCAAACUGAAUCAGUAAUAGAGAUAAGAACCGAACUCAGGAUCCUUAUUUUUGACCGCCUCGCUCCAUACAGUAAAUGCAGACAAGGCAAACUCCCAGUACUCAACAGAACAAGUUACUGGACUGUGGCCAGAGCACCUCUGUAUAAUAGUGCAAAAGCAAUUCCUUUUGUGAAUUCCUCCAACCCCUUCAAAACUAGCUUUAAAGAGGGGGAAAUGCUCUAAAAACUGUCUUAUAAAUAUACCACAGCUUCUCUUCUGCUCUUUUAAAUUUAUUUUUUUCCAUAACCAUGGAUGGCAUUAUUUAAUAACAUUCAGAUACUGGGAAUCUGACAUGGGUGGCUAAGUUAGCUGACUAGUCUUUAGGUUCCCUCUAUAGUCCAUAGGCAGGUGUGCAUCUAGGAGGUUCUUCCAGAGAAUGAUUCAGAGCAGAAAUCUAAGUCAGGUGCUCAGAAUUGAGCUGACCGAGUGCCUAAAGUCUUGACAGCGUCUUGUUCCCUGACUGCAACAGGUAGAGCUGGGAUUCAUCUGCCGGUACAAUAUAGAAGAAGUUUAAUACCUAUGGCAGAGAAAAGAUCGAGAGGUGAUGAUCCUUUUUAUGAUAUGCUUGUAGAUCUCGGAGGGCUCUAAGCAGUAGUACCCGAAGUAUUGUGGAACUGAAGAAAGAAAGAAAGAGAAUAAAUGUAUAGUGGAGAAAUCUGUGUUCUGGGCA